rnacentral:tRNA from 1 species
GCGAGUCUGGCCGAGUGGUUAAGGCGUUGUGUUUAGGUGGUCUCGGGUUCCGACGACUGUAAUACUUGAUCCGCAAUGUGCAUGGCACGCGUAGGUUCGAUCCCUACGGCUCGCA